rnacentral:rRNA from 1 species
GUGGGGAAUUUUGGACAAUGGGCGCAAGCCUGAUCCAGCAAUGCCGCGUGCAGGAAGAAGGCCUUCGGGUUGUAAACUGCUUUUGUACGGAACGAAACGGUCCGGGUUAAUACCCUGGGCUAAUGGCGGUACCGUAAGAAUAAGCACCGGCUAACUACGUGCCAGCAGCCGCGGUAAUACGUAGGGUGCAAGCGUUAAUCGGAAUUACUGGGCGUAAAGCGUGCGCAGGCGGUUUUGUAAGACAGGCGUGAAAUCCCCGGGCUCAACCUGGGAAUUGCGCUUGUGACUGCAAGGCUGGAGUGCGGCAGAGGGGGAUGGAAUUCCGCGUGUAGCAGUGAAAUGCGUAGAUAUGCGGAGGAACACCGAUGGCGAAGGCAGCCUCCUGGGAUAACACUGACGCUCAGGCACGAAAGCGUGGGGAGCAAACAGGAUUAGAUACCCCUGUAGUCC